rnacentral:lncRNA from 1 species
AGGAAGAGGGCAUGGCGGCCUCACUGAGUGCCGCCAAGCGCAAGUUGGAAGGGGAGCUGAGCGACCUGAAGCGGGACCUAGAGGGCCUGGAAACCACGCUGGCCAAGACAGAGAAGGAGAAGCAGGCCCUGGAUCACAAGGUCCGUACCCUGACGGGGGACCUCUCACUCCGUGAAGACUCCAUCACCAAGCUCCAGAAGGAGAAGAGGGCCCUAGAGGAGCUGCACCAGAAAACCCUGGACGACCUACAGGCUGAGGAGGACAAGGUGAACCACCUGACCAAAAAUAACAGCAAGCUGAGCACGCAGAUCCAUGAG